UAUUAAUUUAUGUAAUUUAGAAUCAUACAUUUAAGUUUAUUUUUUAUUUCAUUCUAAUCACAAUAUAUUUUAAAUUAUACAUAAUCUUAAUAAAAUAUACUUAUGUAUUUAAGACAACAACCAACCUAAAAUGCAAAUAAGAAAAUUAAUCAAAAAUUAAUAUAUUUACAAAAAAUAAAUUUUAUAAUUUAAUUCAAAUAAAUAGACAGAAUCCAAUAUGUCCAAAUGACAAAUAAAUUGACUGUAAAAACAACAAAAUCAAUUAGAUAAAUAUUUAAUUAAAGUAAUAUGAUAUAAUUAAUAUAAAUUAUAACAUACAAAUUAUAAAUUAAUUUAAAAUUAAAAAUAAAUACCAAUUAAUUAUUAUAUUAUAUUUAUUUUAUAAAUAUUUAUGUCCGUGCAAGAGCACGGGAAAAUCACCAAGUCGCAUAUAAUAAUACAUGGCCUCAAAAUCUUGUUUUCUUCUUUACAGUGAUAAUAGGUUCUCCUUAUUCAGUAGAAUUGAACAUUAUGUUUAAGGUUCGUUACAACCAAAUAUAGACAAUUAGACAUAUUACUAUUUCCGCGCCGUCCAAAAAGUGUUCUCACUAGUCAUUUUUCGAUUCUCAAUUACAGUAUUCUAUAAUUAAAUACGUCUGAAAAUAUCUUUAGGAAAAUUACAAAGAUGAAACUUGAAUAUCGUCCCUAACCGCGUCCAGAUACGUACACUGGAAAAUUAAUUAAUAUGAUGUCUACAUCUAUUGCUUUUUCUUUUUCUUGUGUCCAGUAUAAUUUUGGUUUUAUUUAAUUAGUGGGUUUCUUUUCCGAAUUUUGGUAAUUCAAAAAUUGUAACUCAAAAGAUCAUAAAGUUUGGUAGAAACAAUAAUUUAGUAAAUUUCAAAAACAAAUUGAAUGAUUUUUGGAAAUUUUAUUUCAGUUACAUUAAUCGAAUAUUAUAAAGUGAAACUUAAUGGUCCAAACAAUUCGUUUCGGGAUGUUUUUUAUCAUAAAUUUGGAAAAAAAGUUUAAUAUAAUGUUUUGGAAUGUUAUUCACUUAUGAAAAGCAGAUCAUUUCAAGGGUUUGAAUUUUAUCACCGUUUAAACCAAAACACUAAAUGGUUUACUCAUAAUCUCACCAUUCCAUGCCGGAUCCAAUUAAUUUUGGAUCUGUGAAACAAGUCUACAAACAAAAAUAUGGGCCUGAGAGGUAAAACAGUGUUACGAUGGACAGAGGAAGCACAUUCUGUCUCAUUCAUAACUCUUUUUCAUAUUUUUCUGCAUUUCCUCUGUCAUUUCACCUCACAAGUCACAAGUCAUUACAUCUCUCUCUGGUUCUUUCAUCUUACUCUUAUAAUUUUCGUACACGUGUAGUUCUUUAUCCCGUUAGAUCUUUCUCCUUAUGCAAUAAUGCAACACAACCAACACCUACCACAAAUUUUCAGUUCCGGUUCGGUUCAAUUAUUACACGGGCCCCAAUUAUAUAUAGAUAUAUUUGCGUGUGUACCAUGUCAAAAGGAAAAUAUGUAAAUUUGUAUAGUGAUUGGUGGUGAUAGUCUCCAUAAAAUCUAGUUUCAACUAGGGUGCACAUGUUACUGGUCAGACCAUCUUAAAGCUUGUACUAAUUUAAUCAUAUAAUAGCCAUAUUGGUUUGCUAAUCAAUUUACUAUGACAAUUAAAAUAUAGUGAACUAAAGUAACCCACCUUUAAAUCUGUAAUAACAUGUUGACAAAAGAAUCCCUACCUGUUAUAGAAUAAUAAAACAUCUAAUACAAUUUGACAAAAAUUGAAGAUUAUUAAUUUACAAAUGACAUUUGGUUUAUAUUCUUCUUAAAUAAAUGAACAAAGCCGAUCAGGAAUUCAAAACGUAGGUUUCCAGCAAGUCAAUCCAUAUCAAAGGUAGAAAUCACAUAAAUAGCUAGCUUCUUUUAAUAGAAACUAGGUUAUUUUCCUUGUAAUAAUCAGGGGAAAAUUAGUUUUCCAAAUAAUGUCUUACUACGAGAGAAAGAGAACGUAACGUUUACAAGGAGGUUUCUUUUUUUUUGGUCAAGUUUACAAGGAGGCUUCUCUCAGACGAAACGAAUAAAGAGCAAAAUAACAAAGCUGAGAAAAAUCCACAAAAGAAGAAGACAAAUGGAUGAUACUGAGUGUUACGACAAUAAUGGUUGGGGGUGCAAGAGAUAGCAUUUGACUAUUUUCGGCAGAGAAGAAGGAAAAUGAGUUUCAAAACUCGUCAAAUGUCGUUGAUCAGAUUCAUUUACUUAUUAUGCCUUUAAUUAUUUCCUUUUAUUGAGAAAGAUUAGGGUAACACUCUGGGAAGUAGAAGUAGUGGUAUUUGGCAGAAUGGCUCAAGCUCCUUGUCGCAUUGUCACUUUAUACACAUUAUUUUCCUCGCUCUGAAAUUUUAUUUUUGUUGUGUGGUUUCCAUACUUAAUCUAUUAAACUAAUAACUUGUUAUUGCUUCUUGCCAAAAAAACCUUUGUACUAGUUACUUUCAUCAAUUAUGCAAGAACUUGACUGUAAGAGGCCAAGAGCUUUGAGCAGGGUUCGUUUUAA